rnacentral:lncRNA from 1 species
GAUACGGCGUUGUUUCGGGACCGUUGGGGCAUUGUAUCCAAGGGAAGUGGGCCCUGGACAUGUGCCUAGGAUCGAUGGGGAUGGUCGAUACAUGUGAACCCGUCGUGGUACGCAUAUGUUGUGUGUUUACGUCCACCUUGCAAGGUUAAUAAAUUCGAUUUGAAUCAUCUGCUUCUCACAGCUUGGGACUGCUUGACCGCCUUUUUGCACUGAGUAAGAAGAGGAACAAAGGAUGAUGAUUAAUAUUGAUGUUUGAUUAAUUUGCUUGUUCUACCAUGCUUUC